GGCCAGAGGCUCUGCUGUAAAACAGCUGUGAAUCUGGCAAAGCAGCUUGGAGGAGACGCUUUAAUGACACGACUCUGGAUCACAUUAAUGCCGUGAUUGAUGAACACGCACAUCCGCUGACCUGAAAACAGGUUUUGUUCUUUGGAUCACUGUAUUUAUAUAUUAAUGCU